CCCUCAGAAUAGCUUUCUCUUUUUUUGUAGGCGGAGAAGAGGAGCCCUGCACGCCUUUUCUUCCUUUUUCCCCAGCAUGCAUGUGUGUUCUUCUUCUCCUCCUUCUCCGACUUCCAAAGGCAUGCAUGCCUCUGGUUGCCAUUUUUUUUUCUUUUUAACCAAAACAGUGUCGUUUUGAGAUUUUUCAAAACAACAUUGUUUUGCCCUUUUUCUUUCUUAAUGCCUAGUUUGGGCUGGGUUCUGUUUUUCCUAGGCCAGGGUGUUACAUUAUAUAUAUAAUCA
rnacentral:lncRNA from 1 species